rnacentral:rRNA from 1 species
GACGAACGCUGGCGGCGCGCCUAACACAUGCAAGUCGAACGAGCGAGAGAGAGUUUACUUUUUCGAGCGAGUGGCGAACGGGUGAGUAACGCGUGAGGAACCUGCCUCAAAGAGGGGGGACAACAGUUGGAAACGACUGCUAAUACCGCAUAAGCCCACGACCCGGCAUCGGGUAGAGGGAAAAGGAGCAAUCCGCUUUGAGAUGGCCUCGCGUCCGAUUAGCUAGUUGGUGAGGUAAUGGCCCACCAAGGCGACGAUCGGUAGCCGGACUGAGAGGUUGAACGGCCACAUUGGGACUGAGACACGGCCCAGACUCCUACGGGAGGCAGCAGUGGGGAAUAUUGCACAAUGGGGGAAACCCUGAUGCAGCGACGCCGCGUGGAGGAAGAAGGUCUUCGGAUUGUAAACUCCUGUUGUUGAGGAAGAUAAUGACGGUACUCAACAAGGAAGUGACGGCUAACUACGUGCCAGCAGCCGCGGUAAAACGUAGGUCACAAGCGUUGUCCGGAAUUACUGGGUGUAAAGGGAGCGCAGGCGGGAAGACAAGUUGGAAGUGAAAUCCAUGGGCUCAACCCAUGAACUGCUUUCAAAACUGUUUUUCUUGAGUAGUGCAGAGGUAGGCAGAAUUCCCGGUGUAGCGGUGGAAUGCGUAGAUAUCGGGAGGAACACCAGUGGCGAAGGCGGCCUACUGGGCACCAACUGACGCUGAGGCUCGAAAGUGUGGGUAGCAAACAGGAUUAGAUACCCUGGUAGUCCACACUGUAAACGAUGAC